AUGAAGCCAUACAUGCCCACGGUACUGAGAGCCCCGAGGGUGGUGGCCAUCCUGGCCAUGGUUGUGGCGGCGGCACCCGCCACAGCCGUGAACGCCCAGCAGUGCGGCUCCCAGGCUGGUGGCGCGACGUGCGGAAACUGCCUCUGCUGCAGCAAAUUCGGAUACUGCGGCAGCGGCGACGCCUACUGCGGCGCCGGCUGCCAGAGCCAGUGCAGCGGCUGCGGCGGUACCCUCACUCCUCCCGGCGGUCAGGGCGUGUUGUCCAUCCUGUUCAGAGACCUCUUCGACCGGCUCCUCCUCCACCGCAAUGACUGCCAAGAAGCCCGCGGGUUCUACACGUACGAGGCCUUCCUCGCCGCCUGCCGCGUUCCCGUCAUUCGGCCCCACGGGGAGCACGGAGACACGGAAGCGGGAGGUGGCGGCCUUCCUCAGGCAGACCUCGCACGAGACCACUGGCGGGUGGCCGGCGGCGCCCGACGGACCGUACGCCUGGGGCUACUGUUUCAAACAGGAGCACGGCUCGCCGGGAAGCUACUGCGAGCCAAAGCUGGAGUGGCGGGUUGCUUUUAUUUUUUGCCUCAAACCCUCCAGUAUUUCUUUCUCCAACACACUGACAAGAAAGGACCCACAUAUGUGUACACCAACAUGGCAAUAAUUAAUUUGGUCAAAGUCCACAAUCCCAGACUCUCGGUGCCACGUCACAAAAUCCCCUCCUAA
rnacentral:rRNA from 1 species